UACGUAGGGUGCGAGCGUUGUCCGGAAUUAUUGGGCGUAAAGGGCUCGUAGGCGGUCUGUCACGUCGGGAGUGAAAACUCAGGGCUUAACCCUGAGCCUGCUUCCGAUACGGGCAGACUAGAGGUAUGCAGGGGAGAACGGAAUUCCUGGUGUAGCGGUGAAAUGCGCAGAUAUCAGGAGGAACACCGGUGGCGAAGGCGGAUCUCUGGGCCUUACCUGACGCUGAGGCGCGAAAGCUAGGGGAGCGAACAGG
rnacentral:rRNA from 1 species